rnacentral:lncRNA from 1 species
AGGGGUGGCUUCCCAGGAGGGCUAUAUUCGGAGAAUUGUUUCUUAAGAGAUGAAAGAUUUAUUUUGGCUUAUAGUUUAAAGGAUACAUUCCAUUCUAGUAGGAAAUGUAUGGGGUGGGCCGGGAAAUGGAGGUAAUGGUGGUUAGGUAGGACUUUGACCAGCCAUACAAUGACAAAGACAUAUAUAGGGCUUUGUUUAAACUCUAGGGAAGUUCCCAUGACUCUAUCAGAGCAGGGUUUCUGGGCCAAGGAGUGGGAAAUUGCUCUGAAACCUGAUGGGUGAAGCUGGUGGAAAUCUCCUCUGAUGAUGCAGGAGGUGGGCUGGGGGCUGCUGUUAGGAAUGAGAGGCAGGGAUGUCCCAGGACCACACUAUCAGCCUGGUUCCUGUUUGACAGUGAGUCGUCUUCAGAGCUUUGAGUCUGCUGGUGGCCACACUUAAGUCUGCUAAUGAGUAGAAGGUGCUGACUUCCUUAGGCCCAGCCCAGCAAACACUGGGAUAGACCUCAGCUAAACCUUUAUGGUGUGGACACAGAGAGCUGUGAAGAGGCGCAUGGCUGACGUCUGCUGAAAUUACUCAUAGCCACAGUUGCCCUUGCCAGAGGACAGAAUGGAAGUUAACCAACAGCAGCAGGCAGGGAUCCGGUAACAAUCAAAACCCCAAGCUACAACCUUGGGAAAUGACAACGUUGACAAAGAAGUGCCACAGUGCCUGCUCCUUCCUGAAGUCCUGCCCGGUCCACACAGCUUUCUUCUGGAGUCACCUCCCUCUGCCACCCCGUCACUGUAUUGUGGAGAGAGGACAAGGAAUCAUGGGUACAGUACAGCAGGGGAGACCCAGAGGCGGAUUCUGAACUCCGGGCCGAAGCCCCCUCCCCCCCCCAUUGGAUGUUUGGACCAUCUGCAGGCAUGGAAACAGCUGGCCCUGUAGAGCCACCACUGCUGUAAGAGGAGAAUCCAUCGUGCAUCGUGGUUACCUGGACAGUUGAGAUGUCCUAGUCAAAGUACUUUUGUUGUCCAAAGUCACACUGGUCCCUAAACUGGCGGACGUUGAACCUUUGCUUAGGAGAGUAAAGGGUUAGGUUCCUGGCAGCAUCUGUUGAUAGAUCUUUUCAUCAAUCACUGGACACAUCAACUUAUUUAAUGUGUAUUUCUAUUAGAAAACAUCUGGCUUAGGAUGUAUCGCUGGUUCACUGACAUUCACCUCACUGUGGCUCAGGCCUGAAGGGAGCUCAUCUGACACGCAUUUUCUUUACACGUCAUAACCCGUGCUCAGGGUCUCCAGACAAGUGCUUCUAGCCCCGUGCUGGAGGCAUUCUGAACAACAAGAUCAACAGAACUCACAGACAUGCAAAACAAUAUGGCGCUGAACCAACCACAGAAGGGCACUCAUUUACAAUAUGAGAGUAGAGACAGACGGUGGACCAUCACCUUGCUCCUCCUCAGUGGGAAACCCGCAUAUCAGGCAGGCCACGUUCGCCAUCUGUAGAAGUUUGUAAAUGACCUUGAAGACAGUUGGAGCCUUGAUUAGGAGUUACAAAUAGAUCUUUCUCUUU